AUGAAUUCGGUAAUCGGAGUGCUGUAUAUGAUAUCGAUCUCUACCGCGGCCGUCUACCACAUUGGCACCAUGAAGAUGUAUAUGACAGGGGUCCUCGGCUUCGUCUCCUUUGAUUUCUACCCGAUCUUCAGUGACCUGACCAAGUUCCUCGAGAAAGAAGAGUCCACAGGAGAGACGGAGGCGCAGAAAUCGGACGGUACGUUGGAGUGCGAUGCUCAGGGAGCCGGGACACUGCAUAUAAUAUAACAAGAAUAAAAGCUUUUAAAUAGAACUCCCCUGAAGACACACUGAGAAGAUCUGCUACUGUUUUUAACACAAAUAAAGCUGUUAAUAAAUAAAUAAAUGCCGCCA